GACGAACGCUGGCGGCGUGCCUAACACAUGCAAGUCGAGCGAAUGAAGUUCCUUCGGGAAUGGAUUUAGCGGCGGACGGGUGAGUAACACGUGGGCAACCUGCCUCAUAGAGGGGAAUAGCCUUCCGAAAGGGAGAUUAAUACCGCAUAAGAUUGUAGUAUCGCAUGAUACAGCAAUUAAAGGAGCAAUCCGCUAUGAGAUGGGCCCGCGGCGCAUUAGCUAGUUGGUGAGGUAACGGCUCACCAAGGCGACGAUGCGUAGCCGACCUGAGAGGGUGAUCGGACACAUUGGGGCUGGGAAGCGGCCGAGACUCCUACGGGAGGCAGGAGUGGGGGAUAUAGCACAAUGGGGGGAGCGAUGAUGCAGCAACGCCGGGUGAGUGAUGACGGCCUUCGGGUUGUAAAGCGCUGUCUUCAGGGACGAUAAUGACGGUACCUGAGGAGGAAGCCACGGCUAACUACGUG
rnacentral:rRNA from 1 species